UUCUUUAAAGUCGCCACCUUUUGCUUUGAUUACUGUUUCGCACACCCUUGAUGAGCUUCAAGAAGUAGUCACCUGAAAUGGUCUUCCAACAGUUUUGAAAGUGUUCCCGGAGAUGAGUAGCACUUGUUGGCUUUUUUGCCUUCACUCUGCGGUCCAGCUCACCCCAAACCAUCUCGAUUGGGUUCAGGUCCGGAGACUGUGUGGAGGCCAGGUCAUCUGGCACAGCACCCCAUCAUUCUCCUUGGUCAAAUAGCCCUUACACAGCCUGGAGGUGUGUUUGGGGUCAUUGUCCUGUUGAAAAAUAAAUGAUGGUCCAACUAAACCCAAACCAGAUGGAAUAGCAUGUUGCUGCAAGAUAACUGAGGCAUAAAACUAGUGACAUAGGAAUUGACUGAUUGGUAAAUC
rnacentral:lncRNA from 1 species